GAACGAGAAAGUCACUUCGGUGGCGAGCACAGUGGCGCACGGGUGAGUAACGCGUAGAUGAUCUACCCUUCAGUCUGGGACAACUCUUGGAAACGGGAGCUAAUACCGGAUAAAACCUUCGGGUUGAAAGAUUUAUCGCUGGGGGAUGAGUCUGCGUACCAUUAGCUUGUUGGUGGGGUAACGGCCUACCGAGGCGACGAUGGUUAGCGGGUCUGAGAGGACGAUCCGCCACACUGGAACUGAGACACGGUCCAGACUCCUACGGGAGGCAGCAGUAGGGAAUAUUGCGCAAUGGGGGCAACCCUGACGCAGCAAUGCCGCGUGAGUGAAGAAGGCCUUCGGGUCGUAAAGCUCUUUUAUGGGGGAAGAUGAUGACGGUACCCCAUGAAUAAGCACCGGCUAACUACGUGCCAGCAGCCGCGGCAAUACGUAGGGUGCGAGCGUUGUUCGGAAUUACUGGGCGUAAAGGGCGUGCAGGCGGAUUGGCAAGCCGGAGGUGAAAGCCCGGGGCUCAACCCCGGAGGGUCUUUCGGAACUGCCAGUCUUGAGAGGGUCAGGGGCCAGCGGAAUUCCUGGUGUAGAGGUGAAAUUCGUAGAGAUCAGGAGGAACACCGGCGGCGAAAGCGGCUGGCUGGGGCCACUCUGACGCUGAGGCGCGAAAGCGUGGGGA
rnacentral:rRNA from 1 species